UCCCUACGGGGGGCAGCAGUGGGGAAUAUUGCACAAUGGGCGAAAGCCUGAUGCAGCAACGCCGCGUGAGCGAUGAAGGUCUUCGGAUUGUAAACCUCUGUCCUCUGUGAAGAUGAUGACGGUAGCAGAGGAGGAAGCUCCGGCUAACUACGUGCCAGCAGCCGCGGUAAUACGUAGGGAGCGAGUGUUGUCCGGAUUUACUGGGUGUAAAGGGUGCGUAGGCGGCUUGGCAAGUCAGUAGUGAAAUCCAUGGGCUUAACCCAUGAACUGUUAUUGAAACUGUCGAGCUUGAGUGAAGUAGAGGU
rnacentral:rRNA from 1 species